UACGUAGGUGGCAAGCGUUAUCCGGAUUUAUUGGGCGUAAAGCGAGCGCAGGCGGUCUUUUAAGUCUAAUGUGAAAGCCUUCGGCUCAACCGAAGAAGUGCAUUGGAAACUGGGAGACUUGAGUGCAGAAGAGGACAGUGGAACUCCAUGUGUAGCGGUGAAAUGCGUAGAUAUAUGGAAGAACACCAGUGGCGAAGGCGGCUGUCUGGUCUGUAACUGACGCUGAGGCUCGAAAGCAUGGGUAGCGAACAGG
rnacentral:rRNA from 1 species